UGGUGGCAGGCSUAACACAURCAAGUCGAGCGGCAUYGAGUGAGCGCAGUUUACUGAGUUCAKGUYGGCGAGCGGCGGACGGGUGAGUAAAGUCUGGGAAUCUGGCSGAAGGAGGGGGAUAAYUGCUGGAAACGGCAGSUAAUACCGCAUGAAGUCGCGAGACCAAAGUGGGGGACCUUCGGGCCUCACGCCUUCGGAUGAGCCCAGAUGAGAUUAGCUGGUAGGUAAGGUAAAGGCUUACCUAGGCGACGAUCUCUAGCGGGUCUGAGAGGAUAGCCCGCCACACUGGAACUGAGACACGGUCCAGACUCCUACGGGAGGCAGCAGUGGGGAAUAUUGCACAAUGGGCGAAAGCCUGAUGCAGCCAUGCCACGUGUGUGAAGAA
rnacentral:rRNA from 1 species